rnacentral:piRNA from 1 species
UCCAUUUUUAAUAGGGUUAUAUGAUU